rnacentral:rRNA from 1 species
UACAGAGGGGGCAAGCGUUGUUCGGAAUUACUGGGCGUAAAAGGGCGCGUAGGCGGCCUGCUAAGUCGAACGUGAAAUCCCCCGGGCUCAACCCGGGGAACUGCGUUUGAAACUGGAAGGCUAGAGUGUGGCAGAGGGGGGGUGGAAUUCCACGUGUAGCAGUGAAAUGCGUAGAGAUCGGGAGGAACAUCAGUGGCGAAGGCGGCCAUCUGGGGACAACACUGACGCUG